rnacentral:rRNA from 1 species
CCGUGGCUCGAGGACGAACGCUGGCGGCGUGCUUAACACAUGCAAGUCGAACGGUGACCCAGGGCUUGCCCUGGUGAUCAGUGGCGAACGGGUGAGUAACACGUGGGCAACCUGCCCCUGACUUCGGGAUAACUCCUCGAAAGAGGAGCUAAUACCGGAUACGACCACUUCGGACAUCCGAUGGUGGUGGAAAGUUUUUCGGUCAGGGAUGGGCCCGCGGCCUAUCAGCUAGUUGGUGGGGUAAUGGCCUACCAAGGCGACGACGGGUAGCCGGCCUGAGAGGGCGACCGGCCACACUGGGACUGAGACACGGCCCAGACUCCUACGGGAGGCAGCAGUGGGGAAUAUUGCGCAAUGGGCGAAAGCCUGACGCGGCGACGCCGCGUGAGGGAUGAAGGCCUUCGGGUUGUAAACCUCUUUCAGCAGGGACGAAGCGAAAGUGACGGUACCUGCAGAAGAAGCACCGGCUAACUACGUG